GACGAACGCUGGCGGCGUGCUUAACACAUGCAAGUCGAACGGAAAGGCCUGCUUUCCCUUGUGGAUUGCGGGUACUCGAGUGGCGAACGGGUGAGUAACACGUGAGUGAUCUGCCCCCAACUUGGGUAUAAGCCUGGGAAACUGGGUCUAAUUCCCGAUAGGACUGCAGGGUGGUGCCUGUGGUGGAAAACGAUUUUCUAGUGGUUGGGGAUGAGCUCGCGGCCUAUCAGCUUGUUGGUGGGGUAAUGGCCUACCAAGGCGGCGACGGGUAGCCGGCCUGAGAGGGUGGACGGGCACAGUGGGACUGAGAUACGGCCCAGACUCCUACGGGAGGCAGCAGUGGGGAAUAUUGCACAAUGGGCGGAAGCCUGAUGCAGCGACGCCGCGUGGGUGAUGACGGCCUUCGGGUUGUAAACUCCUUUCGACCGCGAGGAAGCCACCUGGUUGGAAGGGUGGUGACGGUAGUGGUAGAAGAAGCACCGGCUAACUACGUG
rnacentral:rRNA from 1 species